UAAAGCUUUUGCGGUUUGGGAUGGGCCUGCGUCCUAUCAGGUAGUUGGUGAGGUAAAUGCUCACCAAGCCUAUGACGGGUAGCUGGUCUGAGAGGAUGGUCAGCCAGACUGGGACUGCGACACGGCCCAGACUCCUACGGGAGGCAGCAACUAGGAAUUGUGCGCAAUGGACGAAAGUCUGACGCCGCGACAUCGCGUGGAGGAUGAAGGUCUUCGGAUUGUAAACUCCUUUUCUUACCGAACAAGUUCUGAGUGUAGGUAAGGAAUAAGUGCCUGCUAACCACGUGCCAGAAGCAUCGGUAAUGCGUGGGGCACGAGCGUUAUCCGGAUUUACUGGGCGUAAAGAGAAGCGUAGGCGGCUCGAUAAGUUUGGUGUUAAAUCUUCCGGCUCAACCGGAAACAAGCACCGAAAACUAUCGAGAUUGAGUCGAGUAGGGAAGAGGGGAAUUCCUGGUGGAGCGGUUAAAUGCGUAGAUAUCAGGAGGAAUACCAAGGGCGAAGGCACCUCUUUGGACUCGUACUGACGCUGAGGCUCGAAAGCGUGGGUAGCAAAACGGAUUAGAUACCCGUGUAGUCCACGCCGUAAACGAUCCCUGUUAGAUGUAUGUUUUGU
rnacentral:rRNA from 1 species